rnacentral:lncRNA from 1 species
UGAAUUUUUACUUAGACAAUUAGUUUCCUAAUUUAUGUAGUAUGAGGAAUUUUUGUAAGCCAUUUAUCAGUUUAUACAAAUUUUUAAGGGGUAAAUUUAAAAAAAGUUUUUUUUUUUUUUUUUUUUUUUUUUUUUUUUUUUUUUUUUUUUUUUUUUGACUUCUGGGUUAUUUGAAGGGUAAAGCCACCACAAGUUUCAUAGCAGGGUCAGAGUGUAUUACAGCCUGUGGCCAAGCAGUCAAAGUGAAAGGUUCUUGCCCUUGACAUUCUCAAACUAGAAGCAAACAAGGACAGAAGUACUCAUUUAAGCAGUGGUAGCAGCAAGCAACAUGCUCAACAAUGGAAGAGGAAAAAUGGAUGCAUUAAUGCAAUUAAAAUAGAUUAAACAGACAUGGAAUGUAUUAGUCAUGGAAAAAUCCCAGCUUCCAGCUCUUGAGGAGACAAUUUCUGGAAGGCUAUUUUUGUGAUAUGAUUGACUUUCAAAUGGAAUCCACAAUGCUUUGAUAAUUAUCUGGAGGCAAGACCAGCAAAUGCAUUCAAACUGUCCUAGAUCAGUGUUGGGAAUUGUGACAAUUUGUAAAUAGCACUUCUAAUGUUUUCAUAAAUGUCCCACUACUUUGGAGCUCCUGUGAUUACUUUCUGUUCUGCAGGCUAAGAAAAUAGCCAGUUUGUUUUUGCACCUGGCAUGGGAACAGCAGGAUGUUCCAGUGACUGGCAUCUUGCAACCAUACUGGUUCUUCCAGGUAGCCUGCACUCAGCUUGAAGCCCAAGCAGGUGUUAUUUCCCUCCUGUCCUGGGUCACACAGGAAGAAAACCAGGACACACAGGUCAGGGGAACCCACAGCAUGUCCCUGAAGUCUAGACAUAACCUCACUCCUCCAGCUAACACAGCUGAGCCACUACAACCUGGUCUUAAGAUGGCCCAUCUUGAAGCAAGAAAGGAGUAGGCUGGAAAUCAUGCCUGCCUGUGAAAACACUGAGCUUGAUUUCUUCCUAUGGCUGAGGUGUCCUGGCCUUUUUGAAGGUCAAAUUUGCAAAUGCAUUUCUCCUUUCCUGAUUACAAAUCUACAGUUCUGAUACAAACAUACAUACACUAGCACAAUGUAUUUUUUUUUUUGAAAUCUAUUAAAAAUAUGAUUUGACAAAACAUCUUCUUAAAUGGCAGCAAUUUAU